rnacentral:rRNA from 1 species
AGUGAACGCUGGCGGCAGGCCUAACACAUGCAAGUCGAGCGGAAGAAGGGAGAUUGCUCCCGGAUUCAGUGGCCGACGGGCGGGUAAGGCAUAGGUAUAUGCCUGGCAGUGGGGGAUAACGUCAGGACACGGGCGCUGAUACCGCAUAAGCCCAGAGGGAGAAAGUGGGGGAUCAUUGGACCUCACGCUAUUAGAUGAGCCUAGGUCGGAUUAGCUAGUUGGUAGGGUAAAGGCCUACCAAGGCGACGAUCCGUAGCUGCUCUGAGAGGAUGAUCAGCCACACUGGAACUGAGACACGGUCCAGACUCCUACGGGAGGCAGCAGUGGGGAAUAUUGGACCAUGGGCGAAAGCCUGAUCCAGCCAUGCCGCGUGUGUGAAGAAGGUCUUCGGAUUGUAAAGCACUUUUAUUUGGGAAGAACAGAAGUAUGUUCAUACCUUGCUGUUUUGACGUUCCCAACAGAAUAAGCCCCGGCUCCCUUCGUG